UCAAAUAAUCAUACAAAAAUAAAAUUUCAAUCCUAUAGUCAAAACAGUUGACCUAUCAUUGUCUAAUUCCAGGUUUUCUCAGAAAAUAGUUUGAGGCCCACUGUUUUUAGGAAAAUCACAAAAAGUGUUAUAUGAACACAUGGUGUUAACAACUCUUCAGCAGAUUUAAGUGAGAAUUAAUGGUUAGUCACACCAUCCUUGCCUUCAAAUUGAAUGCGUGCUGUUCUUAUCACUGGUUUCAAAAUAAGAAGAAAAGCAGAUUUUAUGAAGGAUUUCAAAAAUUUGAAAUGGAGACUGUAUAGAAAUCUGAGGGCCUAUUUUGUACCUCUGUUCCUUAUCCCAAACUCUUCCCAAUACAAAUACCUACCUUACUAAAGAAGAGAUCUUAAUAGGGGAGAAGAGGAAGCAUUGAGAGAUAUAACAGAUAAGUUGGCACAGGGUGUCAGAUCUGGCCAAAGGAAAGAGCUAAAGCAACAAUAUUAUGUAUUUACAUAUUAGAAAGUAUACUAUUUCUUACUAAAGACCAUGUAACUAUUUUUCUAAUUAUUUAAAAACCUUAAGAAUCUAAAUAGAACCUGCAAAUUUGCAUAUACUUAACAUUUCAUGUGUUUAGUAAAUACCAACCAUGGUUUAGUUUAUCUGUUUUUCAGCUCACAUUAAUAUUAUGUCAGAGUCAGCUUUACUUACACACACACACACGCACACACACACAUAUAAAUGAAUAAAUAAAAAUGAAAAGGUAA